rnacentral:tRNA from 1 species
GCCUUCGUAGUGUAGUGGUCAGCACGCUCUACAUGUAUUCGAGAGGUCCUUGGUUCGAAUCUCGGCGAGGGCA